GAUGAACGCUGGCGGCGUGCCUAAUACAUGCAAGUCGAGCGAACAGACGAGGAGCUUGCUCCUCUGACGUUAGCGGCGGACGGGUGAGUAACACGUGGAUAACCUACCUAUAAGACUGGGAUAACUUCGGGAAACCGGAGCUAAUACCGGAUAAUAUAUUGAACCGCAUGGUUCAAUAGUGAAAGACGGUUUUGCUGUCACUUAUAGAUGGAUCCGCGCCGCAUUAGCUAGUUGGUAAGGUAACGGCUUACCAAGGCAACGAUGCGUAGCCGACCUGAGAGGGUGAUCGGCCACACUGGAACUGAGACACGGUCCAGACGCCUACGGGAGGCAGCAGUAGGGAAUCUUCCGCAAUGGGCGAGAGCCUGACGGAGCAACGCCGCGUGAGUGAUGAAGGUCUUCGGAUCGUAAAACUCUGUUAUUAGGGAAGAACAAAUGUGUAAGUAACUAUGCACGUCUUGACGGUACCUAAUCAGAAAGCCACGGCUAACUACGUG
rnacentral:rRNA from 1 species